UCUUCGCCACAUUUUCUUAUUGAACCGGACCCCCUUCCUGAGAAUGAUUGAGCGCGGGCUAAAGUGAUAACAUAUUAAAUUAUGCAUGACUUUGACUUAAUGGUGAGAGAACCAUAUCCAAUAUGAGCAUGGGGCGAGGAAGCCUCUCUUUGUGAUAGAUGUCACUUACUGUCACUCAUACAAAAAGUUGAAGACAUUGCCAUGAAAACUGAUACCCCGUUUCUCGUCAGGCUACUCAACCCAGGUCAAGUGACCACGUAAAAGUGCAGUAAUUCUAUCUUAGGCCGCUUCUAAAUAAAAAAGAGGCGGGGACAAUUGGGCGGAAUUUACUUCUUGAAGAAGCUUUUUAAGAGUUCACGGCGUGCUGUUGCUAUAGAGACACACAGCGAGCACACAGAGAGACUCACGCUUGGAAACAAUGUAACAUUUACUUAACAUACUGUGGAUUUCAGAAGCCAAAACAGAUUUUUUAGGUUCAUGAUGUCAUGCACCCUGGCCAAGGGAAGGCUUGAAGUUUUGCAGAUCUAUCGGCUACUGCAGUGCGUCCAGGAUGGAGAUAAGCUGUACAUAGAGAAAUUAAUCAGCAUGGGUGUUCGUGACCUCAUAAAUCUCACUGAACCAUGUGAGGGGAACGGUGUCCUGCACCUGGCCUCGGUGGGCAACAAACCCGACAUGCUGGAGUUCCUCAUAGCUCAAGGUGCCCGUCCAGACGUGCAGGACAGGAGAGGACGGACACCCCUGAUGCUGGCCGCAGAGCUCGGAUAUGACAGUAUUGUGUCUCUGCUGGCCAAGCACAACACAGACAUGAAACUUAUAGACAAAGAGGGGAAAGGCUUGCUCUUCUACUGCAUCCACCCUACCAAAAGGCACAUGCGCUGCCUCCAGGUGGCCCUUACCGGCAAUGCGGAUGUCAACAAUGUUUCAGAAACUGGGAUGCCAGUGUUCCUGCUGGCCUGCGAACAAGCUCAGGACUGUGAAGGAAUGUGUCUCAGUAUCCUAGAGAGAGGAGCAGACCCCAAUGCUACAAAUCAGGAAACUGGUCGGACAGCUCUGAUGGAGGCCACCAGAGCAGGAGCAAUAGAUCUUGUGAGAGCCAUUCUCAAGAAAGGAGGAAACGUCAAUGCCCUAGAUAAGAAGCAAUUCAAUGCAGCUCACUUUGCGGCUGAAAGAGGCUUCUUUGAAAUCAUUACGGUGUUGUCUGCAUAUGCAGCAGACUUUGGAGUGGUAACAUCAGAGGGGGAUACACCGCUGCACUUCGCUGCCUGUGGUGGCUACACAGAUUGCUGCAGGUUUCUAGCUCAAAGAGGAUGCAAUCCCAAACUGAAGAACCAAGAAGGUCUGCUUCCCCGUCAGAUCGCUAAGGACUGUGGUCACAAAGCCACCGUCAAAGAGCUUAAGAAGGCUGAACGACAGCAUGGAAAGUUCUCAAAAGGAGCAGGUGGCACAAAUGAACCAUGGGCUCUGACGCUUCACGACUGGUCUCAUGAAAAUGAGAAUGCACUGAGAAGUGCUUUCGAGUCAGCAUCAGACGGCUACAUGGGAAUAGAAAUGGUGUCCAGAAUGACAUUUUUGUCUGUUCUUCAGGACCUUCACACUCCUCUAGAUGAUAAACAAAUUUAUGCUCUUCUGCUUGCUCUCGAUAAGAGAAGAGAGGGCUUUAUAAAUAUAAGUGAUUUUCUAAAAGGUCUCAAAUAUCUUCCAAAGACAUAUGUUAUGGCUUCUUAUGGGCCUAAGAAGAAGAAGGCAACCAAGGCAGGAAAGACCAAAAAGACUAAGUUCAAUGCACCUAUGCCCAUCUGCACUGUCCCGCCUGAUCUCAUUCAUCGGCGUGAUGAUGGUGGGCCUCCGCAUUUUAUGAUUGAAAGUUACCAGCAUGCUACAGACACCCACAGAUAUGACCGGGACCAUCGACCAGGACAUCCUAUUGAAGAUGAUACAGCAUGGUACAUUGAUGAGCCCGAAAAGAUAUACAUAAAUAUGAACCACAGUGUUAAAACAGGAGAUAUUGAGUCUCUCAGGUUGGCACUCAGCCAAAAGAUUCCUGUAGAUGUGAAAGAUCGUUUCUACAAGACACCACUCAUGGCUGCAUGCGCAAGUGGGAACUACGAAGUGGCAAAGUUCCUGCUUGAUAAUGGGGCUGAUGUGAAUGCAUGCGAUCAGUUCAGCUGGACACCUCUACACCAUGCCUGUCAUGCAGGACAGCUGGACAUCAUACAGUUGCUGCUGGAGGCGGGAGCUUCUGUGGACCCGCCCGCCCUCAAUGGAGCCACUCCCCUAAUGAGAGCCAUUGAGAGCUGUAGGCCGUCCUGUGUGGAGUACCUCAUCAAAGCUGGGGCCAAGGUCAAUGCAGCAAAUAAGACAGAGCAAAACUGCUUGGACGUUGCCCACGCUUAUGCAGACUUCAGGGUGGUGGAUUUGAUCCAGGCUAAGAUUAAUACGCUACCCAGACCUAAGGAGAAUAAAAAGCCACAGCCUGUCAGAGUCCACCGCAAACUAACGCCAGCUUCAACCCCAGGCUCUACAAAAGAAAAGCAGGGCACCGUUCCCACUCCUACAGCCUCCUCAAACUCAGCAGUCAAGAAAGCAAUGAAGAAAGACAGUGUUAUCGUGUACAGCACUCAGAUCACUACCGGCAAGCUCAACAAAUUGGACAUCAGUUUUGUGCCAAGAACGACAUGGCAAAAUCAGCUGUCCACAAUCGAGCUGAUGGAUAGGAAAGCAAGGAGGAGGCAGCGCUUCAGUUUUGAGGUGGACUUUGAUGACUUCAGGAUGCCAUUCAAUAAAAACAUUCAGAAGAAGUCCGUGGAGUUUGAGCUCACUGACUGAAAGAUUGAAGUGACGUGCACCAGUUAUCGCUGGCCUCGGAGCAGAUUCUAGAUUCUUUCUGCUGCAAGGAAAUGCACCACUCGGCUGUCCUUUUAUUGCACGGUUCUCUGUUUGGCCAUCAGAUGGCGCAACAGUGUUUACAUACGAACAGUGUCUGUUUUGGAUGGCUGUUCUAAGACCCUCUGGGACUCUUGUGUUACAGCUCAGCACAGUACAAUACUGCAAAAUGGCAGCCAAAACAAUUGUGAUUGUUUAGAGCCUAAUUUUGAACUUGAUUAAAAUAUCAUGUGAUUGAACUUUCAUUCAAAAUUUACAGGUAUAGAUUGUAUGUGUUAUGAAUCGUAGCUGCCAUUGUAAGUCUUUUUCCAUAAACAGUCUCUCUGAUUUAUUCCCUGAUGUAUUCUGUUAGUUUAAAAAUCAAUAAAAAUGUACCACAAAUGAAUGAAAAGGAUCCGCACAGUGGUAAAGAAAUAAAUAUCCACAUCAAACCAACGUAAUAACACCUUUACUGUAACCGCAGAGUCAGUAAGCUCUGUUUAAAAUGUCAACAGUGGCGUCUGAAAAACAGAGAUAAGGUGUUUUGUAUUUGUACAACGUGGAUCUGAUUAAAUGCGCCCAUGUCUGCUGAUACCAGCAUUUACCAUCGAAUUAUAUCAUUACAUUGCUAUGCCUUCAAGGUCUGUUGGGCAUGGUUACAUAACAUAAUAAAUGGUCAAAACCAACAGCUAUAAAUCAAGGCUACUGAAACUACGGAGUUUACACAUAUCCAUUUGGUAUCCAAUCAGAUUAUAGAGAAUUUAUGUCAAUUGUCAGAGACUGUUACUAGCAACUGUGAGAUAUAUAUGGAUUUUUGUAAAUGGAUGUUUGUCUAAAUCGAAAUUUUUGACUGUUUGUUACAGAGGCUGAGAAAGAGACAACAAAAGAGCAAACAUGAGAGUGGUAGAGAGAGAGAGAGAGAGAGAUGGGGGGCGACUCGGAGAGUUAGUGCGUCAGAGAGCGAGAAGGACGGGGCGAAUGAAAGCGAUAGUGUGAGUGUGAACCCAUCGGUGACAUUCAUCCCUGUAGAUGUGGGUAACAACACGUCAGGUCUAACGCACUGGGGUUGAGCAGCAUGCAGUGUUGAAGUGCGUGCCCAUAUAUCAGUGACAGGGUUCAGAGGCUGAGAGCUUGGAGCUGAGCACUGCGGAGCCAGCAGGGUGAAGCUGGCAGAGAUCUGCUCUGCACUCCAUCGAUCUGGCCGAGCUGGAGUAGGUCACGGUUUCAGCACUGGGCAGCUUCAUUUUCACUGCAGUGGAGGCGUCUGCUGUUCCACCUCUGGGCACAAACGGAGCCACAUAAUCACACACGCACACAGUCUUGCAUAGUUGGAAGCUGCGGUUCAUUAAGCUGCAGAAGGCACCGAGGCACUAGUUUCCCUCUGAGCAGCCCUUAAAGGUGGGAUCUGCCAGUAACACCCUGGUAACAUAAAAAUGCUGCAUCAGCUCUGCAAGAGAUACUGUAUGUAUUGCAGGCGUCAGACAUGACUGUCUGGGUCCAGGUUUGUGCUCUAGAGCAGUUUCCUCACCGGUUUUGUUUUUGG